rnacentral:rRNA from 1 species
ACACCGGUUCUCGUCCGAUCACCGAAGUUAAGCAACGUCGGGCGCGGUCAGUACUUGGAUGGGUGACCGCCUGGGAACACCGCGUGAUGUUGGCU